CAUCCUUAGUUACCAUCAGGUAAUGCUGGGGACUUUAAGGAAACUGCCAGUGAUAAACUGGAGGAAGGUGGGGAUGAUGUCAAGUCAUCAUGGCCCUUAUGGAGUGGGCUACACACGUGCUACAAUGGUGGCUACAAUGGGCUGCAAAGUCGCGAGGCUAAGCUAAUCCCUUAAAAGCCAUCUCAGUUCGGAUUGUACUCUGCAACUCGAGUGCAUGAAGUUGGAAUCGCUAGUAAUCGUGGAUCAGCACGCCACGGUGAAUACGUUCUCGGGUCUUGUACACACUGCCCGUCACGCCAUGGGAAUUGGUUUCACUCGAAGCU
rnacentral:rRNA from 1 species